UACGUAUGGUGCAAGCGUUAAUCGGAAUUACUGGGCGUAAAGCGUGCGCAGGCGGUUUUGUAAGUCUGACGUGAAAUCCCCGGGCUCAACCUGGGAAUUGCGUUGGAGACUGCAAGGCUAGAAUCUGGCAGAGGGGGGUAGAAUUCCACGUGUAGCAGUGAAAUGCGUAGAGAUGUGGAGGAACACCGAUGGCGAAGGCAGCCCCCUGGGUCAAGAUUGACGCUCAUGCACGAAAGCGUGGGGAGCAAACAGG
rnacentral:rRNA from 1 species